GCAGGUACAGCGGGAAGCCAGGCGGCGACGCCGAGCGGAACCCGAAAACCUGUCUCAGUUCGGAUCGGAGUCUGCAACCCGACUCCGUGAAGCUGGAUUCGCUAGUAAUCGCGCAUCAGCCAUGGCGCGGUGAAUACGUUCCCGGGCCUUGUACACACCGCCCGUCAAGCCAUGGAAGCCGGGGGUGCCUGAAGUGUGCAGCCGCAAGGAGCGCCCUAAGGUAAAACCGGUGACUGGGGCUAAGUCGUAACAAGGUAUC
rnacentral:rRNA from 1 species